rnacentral:rRNA from 1 species
UACGUAGGUCCCGAGCGUUGUCCGGAUUUAUUGGGCGUAAAGCGAGCGCAGGUGGUUUAUUAAGUCUGGUGUAAAAGGCAGUGGCUCAACCAUUGUAUGCAUUGGAAACUGGUAGACUUGAGUGCAGGAGAGGAGAGUGGAAUUCCAUGUGUAGCAAUGAAAUGCGUAGAUAUAUGGAGGAACACCGGUGGCGAAAGCGGCUCUCUGGCCUGUAACUGACACUGAGGCUCGAAAGCGUGGGGAGCAAACAGG